UCAAUGUUUGAAUUGUAUUUCAGUGCAGUUUGUGAAGACAGAUAAUCAAGAGAAGUCAGUUCCAGAUCCACCCGGCCUCCACAUCAGACCUCUCUCUCAUGUGGAUGGCUGUCUACUAGCAUAUCGUGUUCUCUUCAGACUUCGGUGGAUCCAGAUAUUACUCAGGGACAUGAACACUUGAAUAUUGCAAGAAUAGAGAAAGUAAUAAUUACUAAAUUUUAGAAUUUAAUUUUUUGUGGCAGUGUGAACUGGCCAUAAUGCUGUAUGAUAGGUGUGAGAUUCAUUAAACUUGAUUUGCUAUAAUACAUCUGCUCAUAAGCUAUUGCAUAUUAUGUUCGAUGAAUUAUUUGUAGUGGUUUGGUUAAGGGUGUGAUUAGCUGAUGUAUUAUUGUAGGAGCUUGUGAUUAGUUGAUGAAUUGUGUGCAUGGUUAAUGAUGGCUCUUAAAUAUUUAAAUGCAAUGUGCUGAUUGCCUACGAAGACUUGCAUGUUUGUGCAUAAUGUUUUGACCCUGGAUGCUAAAAGAAUGAUAUACAUAUUUAAAUAUAUGGAAAUGUAUUUAUUAUAAAUAUAUUUCAGUCUAUGUGCUUCUGUAUGGGCUGAAUGCUUUCAUUCAUAUUUCGCUGUAUAUCCUAUGUUCUUAUUAAUAAUCUGGGUGUAUAACUGUUCAUAUUUGUUUGUUAAUAAAUUAACUGAAUUCAUUUCGAGUAUGUAUUCAUCAUUCACAGCUGCUAAAACAGCCUUUAAAUUAGUUUGGGCAUAUGAGGACAUAAAUAAGGUUAAACUUGCAUGUCCUGCAAUGUCCACCCAUAAAAUAAUUAUAAAAAAUGACCAACUGAUUACCAGCACACAACUACCGAUCCGCGACCCGAUCCGUUGCCACGACGUCGCAGUUACUUACUGGCAACAUCAAGAAGUUACAUUCCACGAAAUUUUCGUCACCAGAUUACGUUGCAGUUACUUAACAGUUACGUAAUGUUGUUAGCAGGUCUUACAACUCUCUGAAGACUCGUUCACUUCGGAAGCGUCUCGCAGCGAUCAUUGUCAUACCACGGACGCUAAACAUUAUGAAUUAUACAUGCAGACAUUCAUAUGAGGAGUCUGGCAGCAAAUUAGCCAAUCAGAGAACAAAUUUUAUUUAAGAACAUGAAAAAUUUACUGAGGUCCGGACCUCGGUGGCCUCAUAGCUGGCUACGGGCCUGAACAUUUUCUCAAUUUAUUGAACUCGUGUCCGUCCAUUCAUCUUUCUUAUUCUCUUUUACGUUUUUAUUCCUACUCUUUCCUGGCAAAAUACACAUACACACAAGCAUUCAUACAUUCACACACGUGUUUCCAUAUUUUAUGGGGACUUUCCAUAGACCGACUGAUUUUUAUAGGCCUACAGUACAAAUUUUAUAUUAUAUCCCAUAACCCGACCCCUAAACACAGCUAUCACAAAAAAGUUUCUACAUUUGUAUAUUACAAUUAUAAUAAUAAUAAUAAUAAUAAAUACAUAAAUAAAAAAGCUGGGUGUGAUUUAUGUUUUCCCCUCAAUGCAUCACAUGAAAGUGCUGGCUUCAGCUGUCAACAGGAUUUUAAUAUUUCAUUGAAAACCAUUUGUUGG